AGAGAUGGAUUGGCGCCCGAAGGGAGGCCUGGACACAGGUGCUGGCAUGGCUGUCGUCAGCUCGUGUCGUGAGAUGUUGGGUUAAGUCCCGCAACGGGCGCAACCCUUGUCAUUAAUUGCCAUCAUUCAGUUGGGCACUUUAAUGAGACUGCCGGUGACAAACCGGAGGAAGGUGGGGAUGACGUCAAGUCCUCAUGGCCCUUAUGGGUAGGGCUUCACACGUCAUACAAUGGUCGGUACAGAGGGUUGCCAAGCCGCGAGGUGGAGCCAAUCCCAGAAAGCCGAUCGUAGUCCGGAUCGCAGUCUGCAACUCGACUGCGUGAAGUCGGAAUCGCUAGUAAUCGCGGAUCAGCAUGUCGCGGUGAAUACGUUCCCGGGUCUU
rnacentral:rRNA from 1 species